GACGUAGGGUGCGAGCGUUGUCCGGAUUUAUUGGGCGUAAAGAGCUCGUAGGCGGUUUGUCGCGUCUGCUGUGAAAACCCGAGGCUCAACCUCGGGCCUGCAGUGGGUACGGGCAGACUAGAGUGCGGUAGGGGAGAUUGGAAUUCCUGGUGUAGCGGUGGAAUGCGUAGAUAUCAGGAGGAACACCUGCGGUGUAGACGGCUUACUGGACGGUAACUGACGCUGAGGCACGAAAGCGUGGGUAGCAAGCCGG
rnacentral:rRNA from 1 species